rnacentral:rRNA from 1 species
GUCCACGCCGUAAACGAUGUCGACUUGGAGGUUGUGCCCUUGAGGCGUGGCUUCCGGAGCUAACGCGUUAAGUCGACCGCCUGGGGAGUACGGCCGCAAGGUUAAAACUCAAAUGAAUUGACGGGGGCCCGCACAAGCGGUGGAGCAUGUGGUUUAAUUCGAUGCAACGCGAAGAACCUUACCUGGUCUUGACAUCCACGGAAGUUUUCAGAGAUGAGAAUGUGCCUUCGGGAACCGUGAGACAGGUGCUGCAUGGCU